rnacentral:misc_RNA from 1 species
GAUGAAGAACGUAGCGAAAUGCGAUAAGUAAUGUGAAUUGCAGAAUUCAGUGAAUCAUCGAAUCUUUGAACGCACAUUGCGCCCGCCAGUAUUCUGGCGGGCAUGCCUGUUCGAGCGUCAUUUCAACCAUCAAGCCCCCGGCUUGUGUUGGGGACCUGCGGCUGCCGCAGGCCCUGAAAACCAGUGGCGGGCUCGCUAGUCACUCCGAGCGUAGUAAUACAUCUCGCUCAAGGCGUGCUGCGGGUUCCGGCCGUUAAAAAGCCUUAUUUACCCAAGGUUGACCUCGGAUCAGGUAGGAAGACCCGCUGAACUUAAGCAUAUCAUAAGCGGAGGA